rnacentral:snRNA from 1 species
AGCAGAUUAGCACGACCCCUGUGCAAGGAUGACAUGCAAAUUUGUGAAGCGUUCCAUAUUUUU